AUCACCGACACGAAGCCUGCUAGGCACGAAGGCCCGAAUAUCAUACCAGUACUAGGCCUGCGGGAUUUAUCCCUGAUAUAAUACCAGCAUGAAGCCUGCAGGAUUUAACCUGGAUAUUUUACCAGCACGAAGCCUGCAGGUCUUUAAGUCCGGAUACACAUCAAAUAUCAUGCAUAUUUAAUCAUUUAUUAACACAUCUCAUUCAAC
rnacentral:lncRNA from 1 species